AUUGUGUUCUUUCGGCUUCACACCAUUUUGAGUCCAGUGACACACAAAUGUUUUUUUUUACACCUCCAGCAUUCCCGAUGGAACAGAUCGUUUCACAGGAAGCCCUUCCUGCCAACGCUGGUUUGUAUAUAGAUGUUGAUAGUGUCAGGCGUAGGUUGGAUUUGUUUUAUAUGCGUGUUGUACGCUGUUCUGACAACAAACACACAAACAUGAAAAUUUGCUUUCUCUUACCAAUUUCGUUGCUGCUUUGUCUGCAAGUUGCUGCUGGAGCUGGCAUUGAUGACGAGGAGGACGACGAAAACAGUCCUGACACAGCGCCAGGCAAAGCAACCGAUAAUAAGCAAAAGCCGCCUAUUAGGGUAACGUCCGAAUCACCAAUUAGACGCAAAUCAACCGUCACGGUGAGAGUCACGACAGAUGCACCAGAUUGCCCCUUCAGGGACGGAGGGGUCAGAUACAAGAGGCAUAAUAUCAACCAUUGCUUUGCCGAAUGUCUCGGCCUGUUUGAAGACACCGCGAACGAGGACAGUUGCAAAUUCAACCCUGAAACUUGGAAUGCUGCUGAUCAAUACUGUUCAAAUAAGUUCACGCCAAACCAACGGUCAAACAAGAAAGUUUUUUGCAACUUUGAUCCAGU